CCGAAGCCCCAAACUUCCCAACCUAAGCUCCACAAAAAUCAAAUUGACACCAAAAUCAAGAAACACUCGUCAGGAAAAUCUCAUUUCUUUUUCUUUUACUUUUCAGUAACAAAUCAAAGAAAUGAGAUACUAGAAAACCCUUUAGGAUUAUUGUUUCAUCUAUGGAAAGUGAAAAAAAAAUGAGCUUGAGCUCUGAUGCUUUGACCACUACUCUCUC
rnacentral:misc_RNA from 1 species